UAGGGCUCCACCUGUGGGAUAAUCAACCAAUAGUGGCAGUGCUUUGCCGUCCUCACAACUCUGUUUCCGAUGCAAGGAUAGCCAGCCUUUGUGUACAUCCCUUAAAGGGAAACUUCACCACUAGAGACUUUUUGGGGUGUUUUUCCAGAGUGAUGAGAGGGUGAUUCAGACAAUUAUGUCAUUGGUUGAUUGAGCCUGCUGUCUGAUCAAAAAAUUUAUGGAGUUACGUUUCUAAGCAAUUAUUGUGGCCUUUGUGUUUCGCCGACUGCACGAUCACGCGAGUAGAUAUGGUUGUCCUUGUUCAAUAGAGCCAUUGGACUUUUCUCAACGAUGUUCCUAUCUGCCAGGACAUUGCAGGAUAUCAAGAUUGACUCAUUUUACCUGGUUUUGUAUAGACUAUAGCCUGACGGGAGCCAUACUUCCUUGUUCCCACCCUCGAAGACAAGAAAUAUAAUUGAUGACUCAAGACAAGAUGUGAAAGGUCCCAUAACAGCAAACUCCCAUUGUAUCAAAGUGACUCCGAACACCUCACUGCACCACCCAAACACACCAUAUACUAAUCUCAUCUGAGAUUUCCACCUUCGCCGUCCAGACCGGCCCGCUCUUCGCCCUCGGGGCCGGUGUCGUCCUGCGGCUGGGGCCGCACGUCGGAGGGGGGAGGUCAUCACUUCCCUGAUUACUCCCCGUUCAUCUAGCACUCCGAGGAGGAGCUCCCUGCGUCUCCGUUACAAUUCUAUAUUAUACUACAACAUCAGUCUAACAGAAUAUGGAUGUUGUGUUGGUUGAAUGUUCCAGGCAAGUUCCAGAAUGUUCUUCAGCUGGUGAACCUCUCCUUGUUUUGGGUAAUGGCAGCUGGUUUAGCAAGCUUUGGUGCUGUGGCGAUGUUGGCAGUGAUGUUAGGUUUGGGGGGGAUGUGACUCUGGCUCCUUGUAGACAACAGUCUGGUCCUUUCUGCACUCCACAGCCAAGUAGAAAAGCCUCUCUUUCUUCACCACCCGCUGCUUCAACCUCAUGCAGAAGAUUUGUUUGUUCUAUAAUUCUCCUGGAAAGACAUGAAGACUGACCAUGAGGAUGUGUAAAACAUGAAGACCGAUCAUGAGGAUGUGUAAC
rnacentral:lncRNA from 1 species